rnacentral:lncRNA from 1 species
CCGCUCCAAGACAAAACUGUUCAGAACAACGUUUCAUCUCAUUAUUGCCUUUCACUGCGAAUUUUCCCUGUCUUCUGAAGAAACUCGCUCUCUUCUGCUCUCUGUUUUCCUGCAACUUCUUCUGCUUUUUCCACCCUAUUGCGUUUUCAGGUACGCUUCUUUGUUCUUCCAUGGAGGGUCCAAAGCUCCCCGAUGUUGCUAAUCUUAGGUCGCAUAUUACUUCCUCUACCAUAACUAAACACAUUUCUCGGAGGUAUUUAGAUACUCCACUUUAUCUUAUUCGAGCUCCUUUUCAAAAUGAAAGGAUAGUUCUUUCGAAC